rnacentral:misc_RNA from 1 species
AACGCACAUUGCGCCCCUUGGUAUUCCGAGGGAGCAUGCCUGUUCGAGCGUCAUUACUAACCCCUCAAGCUCUAGCUUGGUAUUGGGGCCCUGCCAUCCUCGGCAGCCCUAAAAUCAGUGGCGGUGCCCAUCCGGCUCCUAAGCGUAGUAAUUCUUUCUCGCUCUGGAGUCCCUGGCUGCGAUGCUUCGCCAUUCAAUCCAUUUUAACUUCUAUGGUUGACCUCGGAUCAGGUAGGGAUACCCGCUGAACUUAA